rnacentral:rRNA from 1 species
AGUGAACGCUGGCGGUAGGCCUAACACAUGCAAGUCGAACGGCAGCACAGUAAGAGCUUGCUCUACGGGUUGCCAGGUGCCGGAGGGUGAAGAAAACCAUCGGAUUUUAUUUUUUGGGGGGGAUUAAGGAGGGGAACUUUACCCAAUAACGCAAACCACCCACCGGUGAAAACCAGGGAUCUUUCGACCUUGCCCCAUUUCAUGAGCCCGAUGUGGGAUUAGCUAGUUGGCGGGGUAAAGGCCCACCAAGGCGACGAUCCGUAGCUGGUCUGAGAGGAUGAUCAGCCACACUGGAACUGAGACACGGUCCAGACUCCUACGGGAGGCAGCAGUGGGGAAUAUUGGACAAUGGGCGCAAGCCUGAUCCAGCCAUACCGCGUGGGUGAAGAAGGCCUUCGGGUUGUAAAGCCCUUUUGUUGGGAAAGAAAAGCAGCAGGUUAAUACCCCGCUGUUCUGACGGUACCCAAAGAAUAAGCACCGGCUAACUUCGUG